rnacentral:rRNA from 1 species
CAGUAGCCGCGGGAAUACGAGGGGAGCUAGCGUUGUUCGGAAUUACUGGGCGUAAAGCGCGCGUAGUCGGCUUUUUAAGUCAGAGGUGAAAGCCCGGGGCUCAACCCCGGAAUUGCCUUUGAAACUGGAAAGCUAGAAUCUUGGAGAGGUCAGUGGAAUUCCGAGUGUAGAGGUGAAAUUCGUAGAUAUUCGGAAGAACACCAGUGGCGAAGGCGACUGACUGGACAAGUAUUGACGCUGAGGUGCGAAAGCGUGGGGAGCAAACAGGAUUAGAUACCCGCGUAGUCCCUGUCUCUUAUAC